AUCAGAAUUCAGAUACUUCUUGCUAACUGAUCAGAAGAAUGCUAUAGGUUCUAAACAAGUCAUUCUAUUGCCAUUCCUUUCUGAUAGUUCACAGAACUUAACUGUUAGGUUCUAUGCCUGAACAUACCACAUGCUUUGGUCAUGGAACAUGAAGAACUUCCUUACUGAUGUUAUAAAGCUCAUAGUAUUGGAAGUUCCUAUGCAAGCUGCCGAGAAAGAGAAGUCAUCAAGUUUUGAACAACUGCGAUCACUACGGACUACAAUAAUGACUGACAGACAUAGAUGACUAUUGUGUUCUGGUCCUCCAUUCCACUGGAGAAGAGGUGCAAAGAUCAUUCUGUGAGCAUCAGUUUUGUCAAAGGCAGCAUUUCUAAUAUCAAGGACACACAUGUGAGGAUAUUAAGAGGAGCAACUAACAGAGAAAACAAUGCAAAAUGACGUCCUUCCUAUGCUGAACAAUUAUUUAACUUGAUGGAAAUGUCCCACGUUGCAGUUAAAAUACAAACCAUUACAGACAGUGAAGCUGAACAGAAACCUUGGAGACUUACUAUCUCAGAGAAAACAAGGGACUCUUCAGUAUCCUCACUCACAUUGUAACCAGAUUUACUUCACUAAGGAGAAUCACUGUCUACUCGGGAUGCUUCAUUUCCAGUGGAUGUGUUUUCAGCCAAAGGGUCGCAAAUGCCUCAGCAGGUCAGUUCUUAUAAUUUAGGAGGCAAUUUUAUCCACGGAUCCACGUCUUUAAUAGCAAGAUUAGAAUAUUUCAUUCCAAGGGAUUUUUUUUCCUCUUUGAAAGGAAUAGAUUUUACAUGUACACAGAACAUCUUAUUUGUGCCUUCUCUUUAAAAUAGUUUCUAAGACUCAGUACAAAUCUAAGAGAAAGAUUCGCAUCUUCUGAGAGCCACUAAGUAAGUAUAUUCUCUGGCAAGAUAAUUAGAAUGGAUACAUAUCACAGGGCUCU